rnacentral:sRNA from 1 species
CCAUGAACAACGCAAAUAUCACGUUCGGGUUCUUCCACACUUGAAAAAACGAGUACCUGGUACGAGGUUACGUCUUCGGGCGUGGGCUCACGACUGCCGGGGACCUGAGGAACGAAAACGGAGAAGAAAGCGAGCAAUCUUGGGUGCGGUGCUUUCCUGGCUCAGGCCACAUGGAGGGGACCGCAAUGAUUGAGCGUACAU